AGUGAACGCUGGCGGUAGGCCUAACACAUGCAAGUCGAACGGCAGCACAGUAAGAGCUUGCUCUUACGGGUGGCGAGUGGCGGACGGGUGAGGAAUACAUCGGAAUCUACUUUUUCGUGGGGGAUAACGUAGGGAAACUUACGCUAAUACCGCAUACGACCUACGGGUGAAAGCAGGGGAUCUUCGGACCUUGCGCGAUUGAAUGAGCCGAUGUCGGGUUAGCUAGUUGGCGGGGUAAAGGCCCACCAAGGCGACGAUCCGUAGCUGGUCUGAGAGGAUGAUCAGCCACACUGGAACUGAGACACGGUCCAGACUCCUACGGGAGGCAGCAGUGGGGAAUAUUGGACAAUGGGCGCAAGCCUGAUCCAGCCAUACCGCGUGGGUGAAGAAGGCCUUCGGGCUGUAAAGCCCUUUUGUUGGGAAAGAAAAGCAGCAGGUUAAUACCCCGCUGUUCUGACGGUACCCAAAGAAUAAGCACCGGCUAACUUCGUG
rnacentral:rRNA from 1 species